UAGGGAAUCUUCGGCAAUGGGGGCAACCCUGACCGAGCAACGCCGCGUGAGUGAAGAAGGUUUUCGGAUCGUAAAGCUCUGUUGUAAGUCAAGAACGAGUGUGAGAGUGGAAAGUUCACACUGUGACGGUAGCUUACCAGAAAGGGACGGCUAACUACGUGCCAGCAGCUGCGGUAAUACGUAGGUCCCGAGCGUUGUCCGGAUUUAUUGGGCGUAAAGCGAGCGCAGGCGGUUUGAUAAGUCUGAAGUUAAAGGCUGUGGCUCAACCAUAGUUCGCUUUGGAAACUGUCAAACUUGAGUGCAGAAGGGGAGAGUGGAAUUCCAUGUGUAGCGGUGAAAUGCGUAGAUAUAUGGAGGAACACCGGUGGCGAAAGCGGCUCUCUGGUCUGUAACUGACGCUGAGGCUCGAAAGCGUGGGGAGCGAACAGGAUUAGAUACCCUGGUAGUCCACGCCGUAAACGAUGAGUGCUAGGUGUUGGAUCCUUUCCGGGAUUCAGUGCCGCAGCCAACGCAUUAAGCACUCCGCCUGGGGAGUACGACCGCAAGGUUG
rnacentral:rRNA from 1 species